rnacentral:rRNA from 1 species
AACCUCCGCAAUGUGAGAAAUCGCGACGGGGGGAUCCCAAGUGCCAUUCUUAACGGGAUGGCUUUUCAUUAGUGUAAAGAGCUUUUGGAAUAAGGGCUGGGCAAGACCGGUGCCAGCCGCCGCGGUAACACCGGCAGCUCUAGUGGUAGCAGUUUUUAUUGGGCCUAAAGCGUCCGUAGCCGGUUUAAUAAGUCUCUGGUGAAAUCCUGUAGCUUAACUGUGGGAAUUGCUGGAGAUACUAUUAGACUUGAGAUCGGGAGAGGUUAGAGGUACUCCCAGGGUAGAGGUGAAAUUCUGUAAUCCUGGGAGACCGCCUGUUGCGAAGGCUUCUAACUGGAACGAUUCUGACGGUGAGGGACGAAAGUUAGGGGCGCGAACCGGAUUGGGAUACCCGGGUAGUCCUAACUGUAAACGAUGCGGACUUGGUGUUGGGGUGGCUUUGAGCUGCUCCAGUGCCGAAGGGAAGCUGUUAAGUCCGCCGCCUGGGAAGUACGGUCGCAAGACUGAAACUUAAAGGAAUU